rnacentral:rRNA from 1 species
AACGAACGCUGGCGGCAGGCUUAACACAUGCAAGUCGAGCGCCCCGCAAGGGGAGCGGCAGACGGGUGAGUAACGCGUGGGAACGUACCUUUUGGUUCGGAACAACUCCGGGAAACUGGAGCUAAUACCGGAUAAGCCCUAACGGGGAAAGAUUUAUCGCCGAAAGAUCGGCCCGCGUCGGAUUAGCUAGUUGGUGAGGUAACGGCUCACCAAGGCGACGAUCAGUAGCUGGUCUGAGAGGAUGAUCAGCCACACUGGGACUGAGACACGGCCCAGACUCCUACGGGAGGCAGCAGUGGGGAAUAUUGGACAAUGGGCGCAAGCCUGAUCCAGCCAUGCCGCGUGAGUGAUGAAGGCCUUAGGGUUGUAAAGCUCUUUUGUCCGGGAAGAUAAUGACUGUACCGGAAGAAUAAGCCCCGGCUAACUUCGU